rnacentral:lncRNA from 1 species
AUGCAUACAAUGCUCAAUCUCCAUUGUUCUACCCUUUUCCCAAACGUACAAUUACACAAUUUUUCCCAAAUGUCAAGCCCAACUCACAUCUCUCACCAAAAGAUCUCAAGAACACCUUGCACAACAAAAUUCUUUUCUUUGAAAUCUCAUAAGGAUUUUUUCUCAACUUCAAAACAAAACUUAGCUCUAAACAGUUUUGCUAGCCCCCUUUCUUUCUAAUUUUUUUUUUUUUUUUUUUUUUCGGGGGCCAAGACUUUUCAUAAACUCGAGCUAGACGUUUAUCUAUUAAUUUCAAUAAGAUUAUCCAUUUAAAC